GGCCAGAUAAAUUAUGAGGAAUUUGUGAAGGUCAUGAUGGCAAAGUGAUUAUCUACUCCCACCAAAACUAAACUGAAAGAAUUCUUAAAAGGUUAAGAAAGUAUUCCUAUUUUUCUUUGUCUUUUUUUUAAUUCUUUUUGUAGGGAUUUUAAUCGAUGCUUUUGGCUCAAAAGGUAGUUGUGAUUGUUCUUAGUGAUGGUCUUUUGGGUGUUUAUGACUUGCACUAAAUUGUCUUUGGCAAUUUAUGUUUCCA
rnacentral:misc_RNA from 1 species